GAUGAACGCUGGCGGCGUGCCUAAUACAUGCAAGUCGAGCGAACGGACGAGAAGCUUGCUUCUCUGAUGUUAGCGGCGGACGGGUGAGUAACACGUGGAUAACCUACCUAUAAGACUGGGAUAACUUCGGGAAACCGGAGCUAAUACCGGAUAAUAUUUUGAACCGCAUGGUUCAAAAGUGAAAGACGGUCUUGCUGUCACUUAUAGAUGGAUCCGCGCUGCAUUAGCUAGUUGGUAAGGUAACGGCUUACCAAGGCAACGAUGCAUAGCCGACCUGAGAGGGUGAUCGGCCACACUGGAACUGAGACACGGUCCAGACUCCUACGGGAGGCAGCGGUAGGGAAUCUUCCGCAAUGGGCGAAAGCCUGACGGAGCAACGCCGCGUGAGUGAUGAAGGUCUUCGGAUCGUAAAACUCUGUUAUUAGGGAAGAACAUAUGUGUAAGUAACUGUGCACAUCUUGACGGUACCUAAUCAGAAAGCCACGGCUAACUACGUGCCAGCAGCCGCGGUAAUACGUAGGUGGCAAGCGUUAUCCGGAAUUAUUGGGCGUAAAGCGCGCGUAGGCGGUUUUUUAAGUCUGAUGUGAAAGCCCACGGCUCAACCGUGGAGGGUCAUUGGAAACUGGAAAACUUGAGUGCAGAAGAGGAAAGUGGAAUUCCAUGUGUAGCGGUGAAAUGCGCAGAGAUAUGGAGGAACACCAGUGGCGAAGGCGACUUUCUGGUCUGUAACUGACGCUGAUGUGCGAAAGCGUGGGGAUCAAACAGGAUUAGAUACCCUGGUAGUCCACGCCGUAAACGAUGAGUGCUAAGUGUUAGGGGGUUUCCGCCCCUUAGUGCUGCAGCUAACGCAUUAAGCACUCCGCCUGGGGAGUACGACCGCAAGGUUGAAACUCAAAGGAAUUGACGGGGACCCGCACAAGCGGUGGAGCAUGUGGUUUAAUUCGAAGCAACGCGAAGAACCUUACCAAAUCUUGACAUCCUUUGACAACUCUAGAGAUAGAGCUUUCCCCUUCGGGGGACAAAGUGACAGGUGGUGCAUGGUUGUCGUCAGCUCGUGUCGUGAGAUGUUGGGUUAAGUCCCGCAACGAGCGCAACCCUUAAGCUUAGUUGCCAUCAUUAAGUUGGGCACUCUAAGUUGACUGCCGGUGACAAACCGGAGGAAGGUGGGGAUGACGUCAAAUCAUCAUGCCCCUUAUGAUUUGGGCUACACACGUGCUACAAUGGACAAUACAAAGGGCAGCGAAACCGCGAGGUCAAGCAAAUCCCAUAAAGUUGUUCUCAGUUCGGAUUGUAGUCUGCAACUCGACUACAUGAAGCUGGAAUCGCUAGUAAUCGUAGAUCAGCAUGCUACGGUGAAUACGUUCCCGGGUCU
rnacentral:rRNA from 1 species